AGUGAACGCUGGCGGUAGGCCUAACACAUGCAAGUCGAACGGCAGCACAGUAAGAGCUUGCUCUUACGGGUGGCGAGUGGCGGACGGGUGAGGAAUACAUCGGAAUCUACUUUUUCGUGGGGGAUAACGUAGGGAAACUUACGCUAAUACCGCAUACGACCUACGGGUGAAAGCAGGGGAUCUUCGGACCUUGCGCGAUUGAAUGAGCCGAUGUCGGAUUAGCUAGUUGGCGGGGUAAAGGCCCACCAAGGCGACGAUCCGUAGCUGGUCUGAGAGGAUGACCAGCCCCCUUGAACUUGGACCCCGUCCCAGCUUCCUCGGGGAGGCACCGUUGGGGAUUUUUGGCCAUUGGGCGCAGCCCUGUCCCAGCAUACCGCGUGGGUGAAGAAGGCCUUCGGGUUGUAAAGCCCUUUUGUUGGGAAAGAAAAGCAGCAGGUUAAUACCCCGCUGUUCUGACGGUACCCAAAGAAUAAGCACCGGCUAACUUCGUG
rnacentral:rRNA from 1 species